GUGCUCAAUUUCAUAGCAAAUAUACCAAAAUUGAAACAAUACAGAGAAGAUUAGCAUGGCCCCUUCAUGAGCAUGGCAUGUAAAUUUGUGAAGCAAUGGCAUGGUCC
rnacentral:snRNA from 1 species